AUUGAACGCUGGCGGCAGGCCUAACACAUGCACGUCGAACGAGUGGCAGACGGGUGAGUCAUGUCUGGGAAACUGCCUGAUGGAGGGGGAUAACUACUGGAAACGGUAGCUAAUACCGCAUACCAUCAGAUGUGCCCAGAUGGGCUUAGCUAGUGGGUGGGGUAACGGCUGACAAAGGCGACGAUCCCUAGCUGGUCUGAGAGGAUGACCAGCCAACCUGGAACUGAGCCACGGUCCAGACUCCUACGGGAGGCAGCAGUGGGGAAUAUUGCACAAUGGGCGCAAGCCUGAUGCAGCCAGGCCGCGGGUAUGAAGAGGGCCUUCGGGUUGUAAAGUACGUUCAGCGGGGAGGCGUUACCCGCAGAAGAAGCACCGGCUAACUCCGUGCCAGCAGCCGCGGUAAUUC
rnacentral:rRNA from 1 species